AUUGAACGCUGGCGGCAUGCCUUACACAUGCAAGUCGAACGGCAGCACGGGAGCAAUCCUGGUGGCGAGUGGCGAACGGGUGAGUAAUAUAUCGGAACGUGCCCAGUCGUGGGGAUAACGUAGCGAAAGCUACGCUAAUACCGCAUACGAUCUAUGGAUGAAAGCGGGGGAUCGCAAGACCUCGCGCGAUUGGAGCGGCCGAUAUCAGAUUAGGUAGUUGGUGAGGUAAAGGCUCACCAAGCCGACGAUCUGUAGCUGGUCUGAGAGGACGACCAGCCACACUGGGACUGAGACACGGCCCAGACUCCUACGGGAGGCAGCAGUGGGGAAUAUUGGACAAUGGGCGAAAGCCUGAUCCAGCAAUAGCCGCGUGAGUGAUGAAGGCCUUAGGGUUGUAAAGACUCUUUACUGGGAUGAUAAU
rnacentral:rRNA from 1 species